GACGAACGCUGGCGGCGUGCUUAACACAUGCAAGUCGAACGGAAAGGCCCUGCUUGCAGGGUACUCGAGUGGCGAACGGGUGAGUAACACGUGGGUGAUCUGCCCUGCACUUCGGGAUAAGCCUGGGAAACUGGGUCUAAUACCGGAUAGGAGCCAUUUUUAGUGUGAUGGUUGGAAAGUUUUUUCGGUGUAGGAUGAGCUCGCGGCCUAUCAGCUUGUUGGUGGGGUAAUGGCCUACCAAGGCGGCGACGGGUAGCCGGCCUGAGAGGGUGGACGGCCACAUUGGGACUGAGAUACGGCCCAGACUCCUACGGGAGGCAGCAGUGGGGAAUAUUGCACAAUGGGCGCAAGCCUGAUGCAGCGACGCCGCGGGGGGGAUGACGGCCUUCGGGUUGAAAACUCAUUUCGCUAGGGACGAAGCUUUUUGUGACGGUACCUAGAUAAGAAGCACCGGCUAACUACGUG
rnacentral:rRNA from 1 species